GUGGGCGGCAUCAAAAUUAAGAGUCUAAAGGAGUUUGGACUCUCACCCAAACUCCUACCUAAACUCUAUCUCUUUUCUAUUUAAACCAAGCACCAUGAGGGGUGUUAGAUGAAUCAGAUAUGAUCAGGUUUUAAUGCCUAAAAGGGGAGGUGUGCAUGGAGAAAAAAUCAAGGGGAGAAGGGUGCAGCAUGUAUGUUCUUGGUGUGAGGUAAGUAGGUGCUUUAAUCCC
rnacentral:lncRNA from 1 species